GAUUUAAUAUAUAUAUAUAUAUAGAGAGAGAGAGAGAGAGAGAGAGUUUUGCUAGAAUAUAUGCUAUCGCGCAGUAGUAAACGGCUCGGUUUACUAUCGAUUUGUUUUCGAUGAUAGAGCUUCCAAAUUGAUAAUCGGCACCGUUAAACAUGAUCUAAACUAUUUAAACUAUCUGGAAAUCAAAUUUUACAUAUUUUCGAUAUUGUUCUCUUGUCCAUCAAGUGAAUAGAAAAAUGAAUGGCUGAAAAUGAAUAUUCUUUAAAAAAUGAUGAUACAAUUUUUAUAUUUGAGAUCUAGAGUCUAGAUCUUAUUUUAAAUAGUUUAAAGAAUUU
rnacentral:lncRNA from 1 species